rnacentral:rRNA from 1 species
AGAGUUUGAUCCUGGCUCAGAUUGAACGCUGAGGCUUAACACAUGCAAGUCGAGCGGGGAAGGUUGCUUCGGUAACUGACCUAGCGGCGGACGGGUGAGUAAUGCUUAGGAAUCUGCCUAUUAGUGGGGGACAACAUUCCGAAAGGAAUGCUAAUACCGCAUACGCCCUACGGGGGAAAGCAGGGGAUCUCGGACCUUGCGCUAAUAGAUGAGCCUAAGUCGGAUUAGCUAGUUGGUGGGGUAAAGGCCUACCAAGGCGACGAUCUGUAGCGGGUCUGAGAGGAUGAUCCGCCACACUGGGACUGCCUACCAAGGCGACGAUCUGUAGCGGGUCUGAGAGGAUGAUCCGCCACACUGGGACUGCCUACCAAGGCGACGAUCUGUAGCGGGUCUGAGAGGAUGAUCCGCCACACUGGGACUGAACACGGCCCAGACUCCUACGGGAGGCAGCAGUGGGGAAUAUUGGACAAUGGGCGGAAGCCUGAUCCAGCCAUGCCGCGUGUGUGAAGAAGGCCUUUUGGUUGUAAAGCACUUUAAGCGAGGAGGAGGCUCCUUUAGUUAAUACCUAAAGAGAGUGGACGUUACUCGCAGAAUAAGCACCGGCUAACUCUGUGCCAGCAGCCGCGGUAAUACAGAGGGUGCGAGCGUUAAUCGGAUUUACUGGGCGUAAAGCGUGCGUAGGCGGCUUUUUAAGUCGGAUGUGAAAUCCCUGAGCUUAACUUAGGAAUUGCAUUCGAUACUGGAAAGCUAGAGUAUGGGAGAGGAUGGUAGAAUUCCAGGUGUAGCGGUGAAAUGCGUAGAGAUCUGGAGGAAUACCGAUGGCGAAAGGCAGCCAUCUGGGCCUAAUACUGACGCUGAGGUACGAAAGCAUGGGGAGCAAACAGGAUUAGAUACCCUGGUAGUCCAUGCCGUAAACGAUGUCUACUAGCCGUUGGGGCCUUUGAGGCUUUAGUGGCGCAGCUAACGCGAUAAGUAGACCGCCUGGGGAGUACGGUCGCAGACUAAAACUCAAAGGAAUUGACGGGGGCCGCACAGCGUGAGCAUGUGUUUAUCGAUGCACGCGAGACUUA